UACGUAGGCAGCGAGCGUUGUUCGGAAUUACUGGGCGUAAAGAGUGUGUAGGCGGUGCUCUAAGUUCGGUGUGAAAUCUUCCGGCUUAACUGGGAGGGUGCGCCGGAAACUGGAGUGCUCGAGCGUGGGAGAGGAAAGCGGAAUUCCUGGUGUAGCGGUGAAAUGCGUAGAUAUCAGGAAGAACACCUAUGGCGAAGGCAGCUCUCUGGGACGGUACUGACGCUGAGACGCGAAAGCGUGGGGAGCGAACAGG
rnacentral:rRNA from 1 species